UAUCAAGUGUUUAACUGUCCAUUAAAUAUGUCAUUAUCUUACUACUUAACAUUUUGUCAAAUAUAAUACGUGAAACAUUCAACCCACAUUUAACAUGAAACUAUGAAAUUCCCAAACGCAAUUGUGUCAUCCCAAUUCGAUCUACAUGGACAUCUCUCAGUAAGCCAUUCAUUUGAACAAUGGUUGAUGAAUCCAGAGAGAUUCGAACCCGCCACUACAAAACAUUAAAUGAUUACAUAUAUAACACCAUACCAAACGAUUACCUUUGGGUUUCCGGACGCCAUUGCAACUG
rnacentral:lncRNA from 1 species